CCAGACUCCUACGGGAGGCAGCAGUGGGGAAUAUUGCACAAUGGGGGAAACCCUGAUGCAGCGACGCCGCGUGAGUGAAGAAGUAUUUCGGUGUGUAAAGCUCUAUCAGCAGGGAAGAAAGAAAUGACGGUACCUGACUAAGAAGCCCCGGCUAACUACGUGCCAGCAGCCGCGGUAAUACGUAGGGGGCAAGCGUUAUCCGGAUUUACUGGGUGUAAAGGGAGCGUAGACGGCGAUGCAAGUCUGAAGUGAAAGGCGGGGGCCCAACCCCCGGACUGCUUUGGAAACUGUGUAACUGGAGUACAGGAGGGGCAGGCGGAAUUCCUGGUGUAGCGGUGAAAUGCGUAGAUAUCAGGAGGAACACCGGCGGCGAAGGCGGCCUGCUGGACUGAAACUGACGUUGAGGCUCGAAAGCGUGGGGAGCAAACAGGAUUAGAUACCCCGGUACC
rnacentral:rRNA from 1 species